GUCCGUGUGGCGCAACUGGAUAGCGCGUCAGACUUCUAAUCUGAAGGUUGCGGGUUCGAAUCCCGUCAUGGAUA
rnacentral:tRNA from 1 species